AGAGCUGUACUUCUGAACGUAUAAGUCAAACUACAGUGGCAUUUGGGCUGCCCUAGUGCCUGCAACACUCCUGAACAUUGGAAACAUGCAUCGACUUCCUCCAGGUGGAUGCAGCUCCAUGCAAGUGUGCAUGGCUCGGAUUCCUGAGAUGCUUUGGUGGAAUAGAAACUUCAAAGUGAUGCCAAGCAAGGCCCUAUAGUUUCUCGGGUGACCUGUUGCACAACCGUGCUAGAAAACUUCAAGUCUGUUAUUCAGAGAACUGAUAGAGAGCCUGUCUUUGGAAGCAAAGACCUGGGUCUGAAUCUGGACUCAGCCACUUACUACCUCUGUGUUCUUGGUGAUAAAGGUAAUCCUUUUUUUUUUUUUUUUCCCUUUUCUUAAAAAAAAUUUUUUUUUAAUGUUUAUUUAUUUUUGAGAGAGACAGAGACCGGGUGUGAGCAGGGGAAGGGCAGGAAGAGAGGGAGACACAGAAUCCAAAGCAGGCUCCGGCUGUCAGCACAGAGCCUGAUGAGGGGCUCCAACUCACAAACCAUGAGAUCAUGACCUGAGCCGGUUGGACGCUUAACUGACUGAGCCACCCAGGCACCCCAUUUUUCUUCCUUUUCAAUGAUAAAGGUAAUUCUUAUAUCGGGACCUGCAAAAUCGAGGCUUCCCCAGUGGCAUGGCCCACCACACAAAUCGAAACCUAAGUGUGUAGCACUUAAGGGAAAUGUGUCACUGUCACAGAAACCUAGCAUAUGCCUGCCAGUCACAAUCGCCCAACUCAGCUCUGCCUUACCUUAGCCUAGAAAAUAGGAACUUUGAGCUUUAUAAGGAAGUCCCCACCCUCUUGGCCAUUGAUUCUCUGAGUUGCCGUUUCUUAUGCUCUCAAAAAUCUGCUCUUGCCCCAACUCCCUCAGGAAGAGUGCUUUUUUACUGCUUGAGAAGCACUGUCCUCCCCCAAUGCAUGGGUCGUUUCCCCGUGAAUAAAGGACAUCAAAGUCAUUGCACGGUUUUAUUUUUGUCAUUUGACAUUGGGAAAAUCACUUAACCUCUCUGAAUUUCAGUUUCAUCCUCUAUAGCAUGGGCAUGAGAAUUCUUUUGUCCACACACUCUCAGGGUAUUGUCAACAUUCAGUAAGACACUACCUGGAGGGCCUGACACAUUGUGAAUACUCAAUAAAUGGCUACAUGGUAUGAACUCAUUUCUACUGUAAGUUCCUAAAGCUUGAGUUAUAAAUAAAAUGUGACGAAAUAUGCAUGCAUUUUCACAUGGGAGUGUUUUCACUUGAAGCAAGUGAAACAAUUCUAGGGAGUUCAUGACCUCGGUCUCUUUAUUUAUUGUAUAUGAAGAGGCAUGUGGCAGGGGUCCUUCACAUAACCCCAUCCCACCCCUGUCCCCAUAAGUGGUUACAGAUCUUAAGUGGGUGGCACUGGGGUUCACUGCGAAAUACCAAGAUCAUUCCAUCAAACCUUGUGAAGUUACUUUUGUCAACAAAUGUCAGCUUUGGGAUUUUCCUUCUAAAAGCUAAAUUCUCGUCUUCCUGGGAAUUCUUCACUAGCUCGUUUGAGAUCCAGUAGAAGCAAGGAAACCACUUGCUUAGGAAGAGAUAAACUAUCUUAAGUGCAUACACCUUUGCAAAACUCUGCCAUUGUGCUCAGCUCAGCACUUUUUUUUCAGGGUUUGAGGGGCCAAUCUACCUAGUCAAAUGCUAUACAAAAGACCUUUUUUUCUGGAAUCCACUUCCAGCAAGGGAUUAGCACCAGUUCUGAGAUUCCAUCUGUCUUGUUUACAUUCCUUGUGCGAUUUCAGAACAUCGUGUUCCCUUUCUUGUAAUUGCACAACAAAAGCACUGCCACAGGGCCCUGGAAUGUCUUUCCGCUCCAUGUCAGGAUUUCCUUCUGGCUGGCAUUCUUUGCAGACAGCUCUGGGACCUCCAGGUGGGCUGGUUGAGAGAAGAGAACUUGGGCUUUAGAGACAGACGGACAAACCUCCAGUUCUGCUGCUGCCAUUCGUGACAUAUUCACUGAACCUUCCUUCUGUAAAAUGGAGAUAGUAACAUUUUAGCCUUUGUAGGAUCCUUGUGGAGAUUGAAUAAGACGAUAUGUGUAAAUCAUCCAGCACAGGGCCUGGCAAUCUUAGGUACUGCGAUAAGUGAAGUCAUGAUUUUAAUUCUGGUGCCAAGGGACCUUGCAGCAUUCAUUUCUUUCUUGUGCCCAGCAUCAAAAUGCUCUACCUUUGCCUGACUUCUCCAAAGGAACACACACGCCUGUCCCACUGGAGAAGGUGUUAAGUGAUACAGAUUCUUGGCUUCGCUAUCUUUUAAAAUAUCCUGUGGCUGGGCAAAAAGGCUCUCUUGGUGACCCACUGGUCACUGUUUAAAUCAGUGCUGCUUUUGUGACGUCGCUGGAGACAGAGGAGGGACACCUGACUGUUGACUGGGAAGCAGACACGUGAAGGGCCUUGUAAUGAUGUCCACCUGAACACGAUGAUCCAGAACAGCUGUGGUGUCUCGGCAGCUUGCCCUUUGCAAGGUUGGAAAGGAGUGGGUGUGGCCACAGGUCCUACGCUCUCGUUGUGCACGGUUAUGGGCCAGGAACGCUCACUUGGCAAUGAAUACAUUGUCACCGAACUUGCCGUACGUGGGGGCUACUCUGUCAAGGUGAAGGCCCCAGGCAGGCCCCCGAGCAGUCUGAGAAGCCUUAUGUGGGGUUCCCCAAAGGAAUUUCACGGCGCACUCCACAGCCAGAAGUAAGCAUCUUCUUACUUAGCAAAACAAAAGUUGAUGGACACAGACGGAGAGUCCCACACUGGUGUAUCCGUGGUACAAAGAUGUGAGAUUGGGAACAAAGAAAGAAACAGACCACAAUGGGUGGCAGCAUGUACCGAUAUUAAAAGGACCAGCAAAUAGUGCAAAAGUAAGUUUGAGUGGGGAGGUUUUCUGUGCCUUUUGAAAUGAUGUGAAAAGAACACUGGAAUCAGGCCAGAGGGGAGAAACGGUAGCCUCAAGGGGCUUUUGCUGGCUGCAGGACACCAGCCUGGUAUCCUAGUAUCAUUCAAAAGCUGAACUGAUUCAUCCACACACACGAACAUACAAACAGGAACACACACAUUUAAAAAAAUGGUUCCUGGAGUGGCAGCGUGUCCUCUUUUAAUUCACCCCUAGCUCAAUGCCAUUUAGUUAGUUUUAUUACUCCUUCUAAUAAACGAGCUGGGGAGGUUUGCUAUAAAAGGGUUUAAUGGUGAAGAACCAAUAUGCGAGGUCCUAGAAAUAUAACAACACCUGUUACAACAAAGGUCCUUAACAAUACGUGCCUGCUUUCUAGAGCUUUGGGGGGAACUCGUUAAACUAAGGGACACAGACAUUUGUAUGUGGGCUUAUGUGCCUCUGAACUUCAUUACCAGGUGCUUUGUUACAAUGAAAGCAAGUCUCAGACUGAAUUUGGCCAUAAAAUAAACAUUUGGAAGCCAGCAGGCAUGAAAAAGUUGUACAACCAGUUCUGUAAACUCAGUGAAGUACAGUUCUCUGUCCUACUGGCUCUCAGACAAAUUCCUUGCAUAACAGACUCGCUUAAGGCAGACGUGACAACAUUCUAACAGCAAGAUUUAGCUCCACGUUCAGUCAGAGUCAGGUGAGAGAAACUUCCUACAAAGCUGUGGAUACAGAUCAGUUUCAAAUCCUAAAACAGAGAUUGCAUUGGGAAGGGCAUGCAUUACCAACUGUGUUGAUACUUUGUUUUGUUUUUGGGUUGUUUGUUGUUGUUGUUUGUUUUGUUUUUAAGUAGGCUCCAUGCCUAGCUCAGAGCUCAACAUGGGGCUUGAACUCAUGACCUUGAGAUCAAGACCUGAGCUGAUAUCAAGAUUCAGACUCUUAACUGACUGAGCCACCCAGGCGCCCCGAUAAAACCCUGUUUUAAGUAAGGUCAAUUGUGUCUGAUACAGCAUUUUCAACAAACUCAUGUAUUUUGAACAUCAUUAAUGCCACCAAUGACCAUUACUUCUAAGAUCCAUUAUGCUAAACAACAAAGCCGUUGGUUCUUAUGGGGAGUGGAGAUAUGGGAAGUGCUUUCUAGCAGCCUCUAGAGCAUCUGAUACUCCUUCAAAUUCCAACAAACGUUCCCUGGAGUGUGUAUUCAUCCUCUGGUAGAGUCUUUCAACAUUACCUGCACCUGCACCAGAGACUGAUCCCACACUGCCUAUGCUGAAGUCCUUUGAGGGUCAUUGCAGACGUUAUAGCAUUUCUGUUAAGACAUUUUAUUGUUUCUAAUCAGAGCCCAGUCAGGGGAUGGGGGACCCAGACCUACAACUGGGCUCUGGACUUAAGAGAGCCCUCUCUCUCCUCUCUCCGUGGUCUGGAGUGUUGGACAGAAUCUGCCUGUAGACAAACAGGCCUGUCUCCUCACACCUAUGCCUUGGAUCAGCCCUAUUUCAAAGGUGAUGCAUUAAGAGCUUAGAGCUUGGUUCCUUCACCGGCUCAUCAGUGCAAUCUGCCCACGGAAGUGAUUUUUUGCCUCAAGUAAUUCAUUUGAAUUCCAACAUUUUCUUUCCGAAACUCUUACAUGACCUGAUGUUUUAUGAUUUGCUAGGAAAGUGCCACAGUGUCAGCUCUGUUAACACCAGCCAAAACCCCAUCAUAAAUACUACACUCAGCGGCCUUUGGCAAAGAUACUCUUCUUGACCAAACUUUAGCCAGGCCCCUCUGAGCCCUCUUUCUCACUGGGCCUCACCAGUGGGCCCUGUCUUUGGCCUCCCUAGACCAGUUGUAGCAAGAAUCCUGCUAAUCCUGUCACUUUAGUGACUUCCCCCACCCUUGAUAUCUGACCACCCAGGUCUGCUGUCAGCAAGAAUCCUAAGUCAAUUUAGCAAGAAUCCCCUACCUGUAAUGUCUCC